ensembl:lncRNA
UGGAGCACGGAGCGGAGCAAUGGGGCUAAUCACCUGUGACAUAACCGCUGUGCUCUCGGUCGCUGGAUGUUUCACUUAAGCACUAAAUCCUCCGCCCUUCCGUGCGCUGGUUUCUGCUCAGGCAACAGUUGUCUUCCGGAGUUCCAAAGCAGGGCGGGACGUGGGGCUCUCACAGCCCACCAUGUGCCGAUGGGGCACCCAGCUGAGGGCACGGUGAGCCAGAGCCAAACCGACCACACCACACACGGCUCCCCUCCCAGGCGGGGGGGAUUCAAAACCACCAGCCUGACAGGGGAGGGCCCACGGUGUGCUGCAGCACAGAGCUCAGGCCUCGGUUCACAGCAGGCUGCUCAGUCACAGCCCCAGUGCCACCAAUGGGCACCGGAUCGGUGCGGUGGGACCUGGGCAGCAUUCAGUGCUGUGUCUGCUUGCAGUCGCCCGUUUGCUUCCAGGAUUGGAUCCAAGAAACACAAAAGCAGCGCUGUCAACAUGAAUCUUAGUUAGCAAUAAUUAAGUAGCUAAUAAUAUUUUCCAGUGCUUCUACAUUCAAAGGCUCGCUCUGCAUCUUUUUUCUUGCUCUUCACUCAAAUAAUAAGCAGAGGCACAGUUCUCACUCUGUUUCUCAGUUCCUUGGGCAAUAGUUAUUUCACAACACCACAGGUGAGCGCUACAAUCCCCAUUACAGAGCAUUACAAAAUGCAAAGGUUGGUAAAGAUGUCAUUACCCGUGUUGAUCCAAAUAUAAUCAGAUGUAGGUGCAGGUAGUUCAGGGAUGUGCUUGUUCCUUGUGGUCGCAGACACAACCACAAUAGAGGCCAGUGCCAAAUCUCCACAGCGUUUGCAGAAAGAGGUUCGUGGGGGUUUGUUUUAAAAGCUUCUGCAAAUAUUUUUCACAUCCCAUUAUCAAAGUAUUUAAUUGUAGUGUGCUGUAAGUGGAUUAAUUAAUAGUUGAGAAGCAGCUUAUUUUGAAAACAAGCACUGUCAGACUUGGAGCCUCUCCAUUCCAUUAUCUAGGCCCUGUCUGUAAGUUACAUAUCUGUGACUGCAGCUGUGUUUAAAGUUUCUGAAUGUUAGCAAUCAUAGCAGAAAUGCCAGGAGGGAUAAACAGGCAAAUAAUUUUAUGUAAGUAUUAGUGCAUAUCAAUGGAGCCAGACUGCAGGAACAGGAUUUGAAUCUCUACAGAUAAGGCAAAAAUACUGAUACCAUAUUUUUUUUGUCCUGCUGCGUGUCAGUCUGGAAAGACAGCUCCUAGAUAGGAAUAGAUUUGCUAAGGCCUGAAUGGAAAGUAAACUAUUGGUAGGAGAUGCCAGCUAAUGCCGCUAGGUUCCCGCACUGAGAACUUGAUGAGGCCACCUAUGCAUUUCUCUCACAUCAACCAGAUGAAGUCAGAGCCUAACUUUUGAUUCCAGCUGAUCUCAGCCAAUUCGAACUGGCAAUCCAGGGGCCUCACGUCCUACAGUGUCCUCGAGCCAGGCUGCGUCAAAUGCUAAACAGUUACAAGUUCAUACCCUCACAUUUUCAUGUUGUUGUUGUUGUUUUUUGUUUGUUUGUUUGUUUUAAAUCCAGACUGCCUGAAACUUGAAAGCCAGUUCUCUCACAUUCAAACGUAAUAUUUAAAGGUCAAGACAAAACAUUCUGCUUCCAGUUUCAGAGGAGGAUGACCUUUGUAAGGGCAGCAGCAGGCAAGGUUCACAUACUCUGCCUCUCUUGAGGAUUCUGGCUUUUGGAGCUUGCUCCUGCUGGACACCACAAGAGCUACAGGCCAGCGAUUUCCUGGGCACUGUACACGUCACUUAUUUAGUUUAAUGAGGCUUUUUUUUUUUUUAAUUAUUAUUACUGAAAAUAAUGGGCACCACAGUUGCUAAUGUGCAUGAAUGCAGUAAUAGAGAGUAGUUCUUUACUACUACCACUCUACGGAAUUUGUGUUUUUCAGUGCUGACUGCUUGGCAGCUAUGGUGACAGACUUUUGUUACAUCUAUAAAGUUCAAAGUAUUCUUAAUUUUCUAUUGAAAUUACACUCAUUUUAAUUCCUUUAGCUCUGAUCGUUAAAGAAAUUGUCUCUAAGGGGAAAUUAAUCAGAACAGCUACUGCAGAUUAAGCUCUCCUACAAUUAAAUAUUUUGAAAUCACUCCUAUGUAGAUACUGUCAAACAGAAGGAAGCAUUAUUUUGUAAGAAUGAUCCAACAGAUCAAUUGCAUAUUUUCCUGCUGCACCAAUAAGUUACUCUUUUUCUGUUCCUUGUCCUAACACAGCAUAACAUCUAAGCUGUGGCAUCUAACAGGGUUUUAGCUCUAACAAUGUUCCAUUCUUCUCAACACUUCUGUAUUGCUUCAUCUGUUCCUUUGUUUUCUCCCCUAGCUGCUUUCUUAUCUGAAAAAGCAACGCACCUGUGAGACUCUAGCCCUGUUCCUUGGGACACCAACCAACAUCAGCUUUGGCACCAAUUAGCCAUAUGAAUUUGAGACGUGCUUGAUACCUUAGUUAGAAAAUACCCAUUUAAAAUCCAGUUCCUUCAAACCUCCUUCCACUUCUGCAGCUCCCUGUCUUGGUCUUGUAAUACAGCUGCCCUGAUGACUUAUUUAAAAAGCUUCAAGCCAGAGCAAAAAUGGUAACUGUUCAAUAACUGUAAAAACAAUAAUGAAUCCAUGCAGCCAAUUGGGAAGUAUAAUCCCCAUUAUCCAGAAAAGGAGCUGCCACAGGGCUAAGGGAUUCAUGCAGUAGCACGUUAGACAGAAGUUUCAGUAUUGCAGUGAGAUUUUAGAAGUGUUCAGCACUUAGCCAGCCAUAAAUCUAUAUUGUCCCUUUCAGAAAUACGACGUUUGAUUUCAAUAUGAAUUUGUGUGCAGUCAAUCUCUAGUAAGAUUAAUAAUAAAAACCUGUGCUAAAUAAUAACUUCAUCCUUCCAAAGCUCUG